UUCUAGAGCUAAUACAUGCUAAAAACCUCGACUUCGGAAGGGGUGUAUUUAUUAGAUAAAAAACCAAUGCCCUUCGGGGCUCCUUGGUGAUUCAUAAUAACUUAACGAAUCGCAUGGCCUUGCGCCGGCGAUGGUUCAUUCAAAUUUCUGCCCUAUCAACUUUCGAUGGUAGAGUAUUGGUCUACCAUGGUGUCUACGGGUGAAAACCGUUGCCCGCAGCAUUGAUCGGGGGGGCUUUGCGCCUCCCUGAGACACCGCUUGCUCAGAAAAGGUCUUUUGGGACUGACUCUGGGGCGAGCUCUCGCGAGAGCCGCCCAAACGCAUGCUAAGCGGUGGGCCUUCUUGCGAAGGUUUUCGGUACAUGCUGACGCCCGGCUGGCCGCUGGAGCGCUCAUUGAACGGGGAAUUAGGUACGUGAAGAAAAAGACUCCAAAAAUUAUGCUUGCUAACAUGACUUCUUCACUCUAGGGUUCUAUUCCGGAGAGGGAGCCUGAGAAACGUGAGUUUACCAACCUCUACCCGCGCCAGAAGCACAUACUAACGGUCACUUUCAGGGCUACCACAUCCAAGGAAGGCAGCAGGCGCGCAAAUUACCCAAUCCCGACACGGGGAGGUAGUGACAAUAAAUACUGAUGACGAGCUCUUUUGGGUUUGUCAAUUGGAAUGAGUACAAUCUAAACCCCUGCGAAACGUGCGUCGUUAGGGGGUUAUUGCAGUCGGGGACCUCCCUGGCGACGUUCCCAGUCUUUUCGAGAAGCCCGGUCCGCCGUGCGACUCGAAGCCCCUAUGGGGUUCAGAGACUAUGAGGGAGCGGGCGUGAAGGCCAUCUACGGCCUGUCCACGCUGAAGAUAUAGUCCGACACCUGGCGCAUGGCUGGGCUGAUCAUCGUAACGAGGAACAAUUGGAGGGCAAGUCUGGUGCCAGCAGCCGCGGUAAUUCCAGCUCCAAUAGCGUAUAUUAAAGUUGUUGCAGUUAAAAAGCUCGUAGUUGAAACUUGGGUCUGGCUGACCGGUCCGCCUCACCGCGUGCACUGGCUCGGCCGGACCUUUCCUUCUGGGAAGCCCUAUGCCCUUUAUUGGGUGUAGCGGGGAACCAGGACUUUUACUUUGAAAAAAUUAGAGUGUUCAAAGCAGGCAUAUGCUCGAAUACAUUAGCAUGGAAUAAUAGAAUAGGACGUGUGGUUCUAUUUUGUUGGUUUCUAGGACCGCCGUAAUGAUUAAUAGGGAUAGUCGGGGGCGUCUGGUGAGUUCCCAUCCCUGUGAUCUUCCUUUCCCGGGGACUCUUGCUAACCAUUCUCUGCAGUAUUCAAUAGUNNNNNNNNNNCAGAGGUGAAAUUCUUGGAUUUAUUGAAGACAAACUACUGCGAAAGCAUUCGCCAAGGAUGUUUUCAUUAAUCAGUGAACGAAAGUUAGGGGAUCGAAGACGAUCAGAUACCGUCGUAGUCUUAACCAUAAACUAUGCCGACUAGGGAUCGGACGGUGUUAUUAUUUUGACCCGUUCGGCACCUUACGAGAAAUCAAAGUUUUUGGGUUCUGGGGGGAGUAUGGUCGCAAGGCUGAAACUUAAAGACAUUGACGGAAGGGCACCACCAGGAAGCUUUUUCACGCCUGGUUACAAACUCACUGUUAGUCAUGCUCCGCAUGGCGAGGCUUCUGAUUUGCGUGGACUAUUUCCCUUACUCAGGGAGAAGUACCCGCAGCUGGCCCGUGGGGAAACUCUCCCGGCGUUCAGUUCACAGAUCAAGUUGAAGCCGGCAAGUUCCAAUGACGGAUCCCAAUUCAAACGAUUCGAAGGGUAGAAACCAUAGUAGUGAUUAGCUGUUGUUCUUUCUGGGGGUAAUGAAUGCGCGGAACGUUUUACACGUCCGGCCCGAGGGCUCUCUUGGGAACCAAGAAGCUGCUACUACUACUACUACUACUACUACUCCUCCGACUGCGACUGCAGUCCUUCGAAUCACAAUGGGGUGCGUUAUAGGACUGCUUAUGAUAUGAUCGGCCCCCAGGGUAUAUUCCUGGGGAGCGUGGAGCCUGCGGCUUAAUUUGACUCAACACGGGGAAACUCACCAGGUCCAGACAAAAAUAGGAUUGACAGAUUGAUAGCUCUUUCUUGAUCUUUUGGGUGGUGGUGCAUGGCCGUUCUUAGUUGGUGGAGUGAUUUGUCUGCUUAAUUGCGAUAACGAACGAGACCUUAACCUGCUAAAUAGCCCGGUUAGCUUUGGCUGGCCGCCGGCUUCUUAGAGGGACUAUCGGCUCAAGCCGAUGGAAGUUUGAGGCAAUAACAGGUCGUAUUACAUUGUGCCUUUUCACAGGCCUGUUGAAGGCAUUGAAUCUCUUUCAAUGCCAGCUGGACUUAAGUUAGUCUGGUUUACACCGCUGGUACAGAGAACAUUGCCUGUCCGGCAAUCUAUUCUGUGGCGAACUCUUUUACCGGAGGCCGUCGAAACGCAUGCAAAGUGGUGGGCCCCUUUUGGGUUUAUGGUACAUGCUGUCCCUCCAGUCAAUGGAGUUUUGGUGUCGAUCUCAGUCAACUGUUCUCAUGUAGAUUCUCGGGUUGAAUGAGUUUGUCGAUACCAUAUUUGGAGAAGCGCUGUGAUGCCCUUAGAUGUCCUGGGCCGCACGCGCGCUACACUGACAGAGACAACGAGUUCAUCUCCUUGGCCGGAAGGUCUGGGUAAUCUUGUUAAACUCUGUCGUGCUGGGGAUAGAGCAUUGCAAUUAUUGCUCUUCAACGAGGAAUGCCUAGUAAGCGCAAGUCAUCAGCUUGCGUUGACUACGUCCCUGCCCUUUGUACACACCGCCCGUCGCUACUACCGAUUGAAUGGCUCAGUGA
rnacentral:rRNA from 1 species